rnacentral:tRNA from 1 species
UGUUAGGUCAGUGGUAGAGUGCUUGCUUAGCAUGCAUGAGUCCCAGGGUUCAAUCCCAGCAUGACAA